UACGUAGGGUGCAAGCGUUGUCCGGAAUUAUUGGGCGUAAAGAGCUCGUAGGCGGUCUGUCGCGUCUGCUGUGAAAACUCGGGGCUUAACCCCGGGCCUGCAGUGGGUACGGGCAGACUAGAGUGCGGUAGGGGAGACUGGAAUUCCUGGUGUAGCGGUGGAAUGCGCAGAUAUCAGGAGGAACACCGGUGGCGAAGGCGGGUCUCUGGGCCGACAUUGACGCUGAUGUGCGAAAGCGUGGGGAGCGAACCGG
rnacentral:rRNA from 1 species